UCAAAACACUGAUGUUUGAGAUAAUGUUGAAGGCUUACUACAACUGGAAGUGGAGUGGGAUAGUUUUUUGAGACGUCUGGAUGUUCAGAUGCAAAUGAGCGACACAGUUCUUUCCCUGUGUCCUGCAGCCCAGACGCUCAGCUCAGAUACACAGUUUAUACACGUCCAGACUAAAGAGAAUGUGUCUCUGGGUCAGUACUUGGGGAAGGGAGAGAAUCUCCUCCUUGUGUUGCUCCGGUGUUUUGGAUGACAGCCAUGACGAGACCACCUGACUGAGCUGAAGAACAGCAAGAAGCUUCUGGA
ensembl:lncRNA